UACGAAGGGGGCUAGCGUUGCUCGGAAUUACUGGGCGUAAAGCGCACGUAGGCGGGUCAUUAAGUCGGGGGUGAAAUCCUGGAGCUCAACUCCAGAACUGCCUCCGAAACUGAUGAUCUUGAGUUCGGGAGAGGUGAGUGGAACUGCGAGUGUAGAGGUGAAAUUCGUAGAUAUUCGCAAGAACACCAGUGGCGAAGGCGGCUCACUGGCCCGAUACUGACGCUGAGGUGCGAAAGCGUGGGGAGCAAACAGG
rnacentral:rRNA from 1 species